UACGUAGGGUGCGAGCGUUAAUCGGAAUUACUGGGCGUAAAGCGUGCGCAGGCGGUUCGUUAAGUCAGAUGUGAAAGCCCCGGGCUCAACCUGGGAAUGGCAUUUGAAACUGGCGGGCUGGAGUGUGGCAGAGGGGGGUGGAAUUCCACGUGUAGCAGUGAAAUGCGUAGAGAUGUGGAGGAACACCAGUGGCGAAGGCGGCUUUCUGGUCUGUAACUGACGCUGAGGCGCGAAAGCGUGGGGAGCGAACCGG
rnacentral:rRNA from 1 species